rnacentral:rRNA from 1 species
UUUGCAGCUCAACUGUAAAAGUGCCUUCGAAACUGGUUUCCUUGAGUGUGGAUGAAGUAGGUGGAAUUUGUGGUGUAGCGGUGAAAUGCAUAGAUAUCACGAGGAACUCCGAUUGCGCAGGCAGCUUACUAAGCCAUAACUGACGCUCAGGCACGAAGGCGUGGGGAUCAAACAGGAUUAGAUACCCUGGUAGUCCACGCAGUAAACGAUGAUUACUAGCUGUUUGCGAUACAAUGUAAGCGGCUGAGCGAAAGCGUUAAGUAAUCCACCUGGGGAGUACGUUCGCAAGAAUGAAACUCAAAGGAAUUGACGGGGGCCCGCACAAGCGGAGGAACAUGUGGUUUAAUUCGAUGAUACGCGAGGAACCUUACCCGGGCUUGAAAUGCAUCUGACCGGCCUUGAAAGAGGCUUUCCCUUCGGGGCAGAUGUGUAGGUGCUGCAUGGUUGUCGUCAGCUCGUGCCGUGAGGUGUCGGCUUAAGUGCCAUAACGAGCGCAACCCUCAUCAUUAGUUACCAUCAGGUCAAGCUGGGGACUCUAAUGAGACUGCCAUCGUAAGAUGCGAGGAAGGUGGGGAUGACGUCAAAUCAGCACGGCCCUUACGUCCGGGGCGACACACGUGUUACAAUGGGUGGUACAAAGGGCAGCUACCUGGCGACAGGAUGCCAAUCUCCAAAACCACUCUCAGUUCGGAUCGGAGUCUGCAACUCGACUCCGUGAAGCUGGAUUCGCUAGUAAUCGCGCAUCAGCCACGGCGCGGUGAAUACGUUCCCGGGCCUUGUACACACCGCCCGUCAAGCCAUGGAAGCCGGGGGUACCUGAAGUUCGUAACCGUCAAGGAGCGACCUAGGGUAAAACUGGUGACUGGGGCUAAGUCGUAACAAGGUAACCGUA